rnacentral:tRNA from 1 species
GGGGAGGUGCCAGAGUGGACGAUUGGGGCGGUCUCGAAAACCGCUGUAGGCCUCGGUCUACCGUGGGUUCGAAUCCCACCCUCCCCG